UACGUAGGGUGCGAGCGUUAAUCGGAAUUACUGGGCGUAAAGCGUGCGCAGGCGGUUAUGUAAGACAGGUGUGAAAUCCCCGGGCUCAACCUGGGAAUUGCCUUAGUGACUGCAUAGCUUGAGUGCGGCAGAGGGGGAUGGAAUUCCGCGUGUAGCAGUGAAAUGCGUAGAUAUGCGGAGGAACACCGAUGGCGAAGGCAGUCCCCUGGGCCUGCACUGACGCUCAUGCACGAAAGCGUGGGGAGCAAACAGG
rnacentral:rRNA from 1 species